UACGUAGGUGGCAAGCGUUAUCCGGAUUUAUUGGGCGUAAAGGGAACGCAGGCGGUCUUUUAAGUCUGAUGUGAAAGCCUUCGGCUUAACCGGAGUAGUGCAUUGGAAACUGGGAGACUUGAGUGCAGAAGAGGAGAGUGGAACUCCAUGUGUAGCGGUGAAAUGCGUAGAUAUAUGGAAGAACACCAGUGGCGAAAGCGGCUCUCUGGCCUGUAACUGACGCUGAGGUUCGAAAGCGUGGGUAGCAAACAGG
rnacentral:rRNA from 1 species